AUGGAUGAGGACGGGAAAAAGAGAAAGAAGAGGGAUGCACCUGAUGCAUCUGAAAACAAACCGAAGGACCGCGUCAGGAACUUCUUCACAGAACUGCGUGCUCUGCUGCAAAGUCACGGUUAUCCUACGAAAGGACGCAAAGCUAAAACAUCGCAGAGUGCUGCUGCCCUUUCACAGAAGAAUGGAGGCAAAGUCAAUCCAGAAGCCUCUAGAGAGAAAUCUAAUUGGAUUCCAUCACGUCAUAGCUAUGAAGAUCUCAACCAGAUGAUACUACAAUCAUUAGAUGGCUUUAUGAUAAUAGUGAGCACAGAUGGAGUGAUAAUUUUCGUGACUGACAACAUCUCUUCUCUCCUUGGCCAUUUACCAGAUGACAUCAUGGGUAAAAAUUUAUUAAGCCUUCUGCCUGAUGAAGAGAAACAUGAAGUCUACCAAAAGAUUUCUGUCAAACUUCCUUUGUCAAGCUCAG